GCCUGGAGUGGGCGGGGCCUGGGGGCCGGGCCGGGGCGCCCGAUGGGGGCGUGCACUCUCCGCGGGGACACGCGCUCUGGGCCGCGGCAACUCGCUCCAAGUUCCCUCCCUCGCGCUCCGCGAAGCCCGCCCGAGCCCGCCCGAGCCCUCCCCUCCCCUCCUCUCCCCUCGGCGCGGACCUAGCCCUCCGCGGCCUCGCGCCCCGCGCCCCCGGCCCGCCGGCUCGGCUCCCCCCGGCCCCGCGGGGCGGCGCGAGGACUCGGCGGCGGCCCCCUCCCCGCGGGCCCGGGAGCCGACGCCGGCUGGGGCCGCACCUCCGGGACCGGGCAGCGCGGCCGAGAAUCAACUUCAAGUUUGCUAGAGCAGCUGUAUUUAUUUGCAAGAGGCUUUGGGCAUGAAUUUUUUUCCCCAGAAAUCGCCGGCUGGACAUCCAGAGCACCUAGCCUGUUUUUUUCUGCAUCUUGAAUUGAGCAUUAACAGGACUCUUGAAGGUAUGAAAGGGAGGGGAAUCAAAGGUAAUUCUGUGUUAAAACGUCUAUUAUUAAAUGUAUGUGUAACACUGACGAUCAUAAAGUAAAAACGAUCUUUU
rnacentral:lncRNA from 1 species